AACGGAGCUCCAAGCAGCAACAGAAAGCCCAGGGACACCUCAUAGCAACAGCUAGCCGGGGCACCUAGUAGGAAGCUGGGAUUCAUUCCAACCAACCAGAUCACGUUUCUGUACCCCGUGGUACCAUUCUCGGCCAAUAGAGAGCCACUUCAUGCCACGUGACACCCAACCGUCAGCCAAUGGAGGAAACUCUAGACGCAGGAUCAACCAACUCACCUCCCUUUGCCUGGACAGGCUGGGCGUUUGCUUCUGCGCACUCUCUGCCAACCAAUCGUAGGAGAGAGGAGAGAAUUGAGACGGACCCGUUGUGAUUGAGCACCUUGGUUAUUUAUAACUGUAUCAUUCCUGCUUCCACCAUUGUCACAUCUGCUGACCUUCCUGACAUAUUUCAUUGCUCUCAUGCAACAGGAGAGCCUUUUGAGAAGAACCAAAAGGAUACAUAUAGAAAGAAGAUCAAAAUUAAACAUACUGGAAAAAAUUAAACAUAUGGAAUCAUUGAAGAUAUUUAUAAAGUCUAUUCUUCCAAAGAAGCUGAAAUUUGAUGAUAUGAAGGUCUGAAAACCUGCCAUCCAAAGGUAGAUUGUUUGAGGUUGAAUUUUUUUGUUUAUUGUUUUCAAUUCCAGGCACUAAACUGGGUAUCUUUACAUAUCUUAUUUCAUGUAUUCACCAUAAAACUUGCAAAAAUGAAGGAACUCACCAACAGCAUGCAUAUCUCUUUAGUAGAUAUGGGUAGAUAUUUAUAAAUGUGUGUU
rnacentral:lncRNA from 1 species